rnacentral:lncRNA from 1 species
GGGAUUCCAAAACAUAUUAGGGCACUUAAUUGUUUGUUCUAGAAGCCCUAAACCUUCCUUAAAGUCCUUGCCGCACAAAAGCAUCCUUUCUUUCCUAUUUUCUGAUCUUAAAACCACAUUCCCUUUUAUUCAAGCAACCAGCCGCACCUUUCCCCUCUUUCUUACCUAUUUUCUGACCCAAAAUUACAUUCCCCUUUGUUCUAAAGCCUUGCCAUACAAGGGGAUAGGAUUCUUACCUAUUUUGUGCCUCAAAACACAUUCCUAAAUCUGCCCUACAAUCUUUGCCGGAUUUCCCUUCCUUUUCUCUUUAAUUCCUGCACCUUACUUGCCUAUUUUCCAUUGAUUUCUGACUUUUAAUUAUAGGACAAAAUAGCUAAGUUAUUUCUUUCCCUAAAACUCAUAAAAACUGUGUCCUAGCCCUAUAUAAAACCCCUUUUUGCCGCAAACUAGGGGAGCUCUUUUCUCUGCUCUUCUCAUCAGCCAUUCCACACUCCAUCCUUCACCAUAACCUACCUACAUCCAUCCACCACCACAAAUCACCACAAAAACCUUCACCCAUCCCUUGUGCCGCAGCAAAGAAGAAGGAAUGAGACCCUUAGACGUGCUUGCCAUUCAAGACGUUGGAUUGUUGGAGCGUUUCUAGGUGUUUUCAUUCUUUGUUUUCAAUGUCUAAAUUUAUGUAUCUUUGUUUUGUGGACAUGAGGAACUAAGCCCUUCUUGGCUAGGGGGCUAUUCAAAACCAUGAUUAUAUUUGCAUUAUGAAUUGAUUACCUUUAGUUGUUAUUUCAUAAGUUGUGAAUUCAAUUUGCUUAACCGUUUGAUUGAUAACUUAUUCUUGUAUGUUUAUUAAGAGUGCACACUUAGUUUUCAUGCAAGGAUUUGAAGCUAAAAUAUAAGGGAGUUUCACCUAAUAGUUACAAACUUAUAUUUGCAAGUAGUGGAGGUCGCUUAUAAACGAUCGUGUUAAGUGAAUUCUUGGCAAAAGUUUCAUGCUUUUCAUAGUAACAAUUGCCUCGUCAAUGCUUAUAGUUUUCAUGAAACUUAAUGAUCUUUGAUUGUACCUUUAUUGUGCUUUUCACGUAGGGGACUUUUAGAGAAUGCUUUGAGUUGUUGUAUGUGCUUUCCCAUCCAAUUCAUUAACUUAAAGAGAACUUGAAGGUUAAAAAAGUGUUGUCACAGUUAACCUGGAGUAUUGAGUUUCAUGACUUAUUGAGAGAAGCAAUUGGAAAUCAAUUUGAAUGCAAGUGUGUCAUGUGUGGAGAAGAACUCUCUAGCUAGCCCAUCAUCCAUCUAAUUCAACAAAUUUCGGGCAAAUCUGUUUAGUUUUAAUUCUUGCUUUGUUUUCCUUAUUUUCGUCCAAAACCAAAAUCCCCUUUACUAUAUUGAGUCAUAUUAGUUAGAACUUGUUUUAGAUUGUGUUUUUAAGUGUUUUAAGUCAAGAUAUAAUCAAUUUUCGUCCAAAACUUGUGUUAGUAGCAGAAACUGCCUUAGUGUUGUUUUUAGGCAAUUUUGAGUCUUUUAAGUUUGUUUUCAGUCUUGUGAGUCUUGUUAAGUGUUUUUAAGUUUAUUAUUGUGUUUCUAAGUCAGUUUAGAGUAGAUUAGCAAUCCCUCCUAAUCCCCGGUCCAGAACGAUCCCUACUUAUCCAUACUACAAUUGUCAACAAGAUGGUUUAAUUUGUGUGUUAAGUUAAUUUACGCAUCAGAGUGAGAAGGUUCCUGGCCACCAUCACAGCGGUCAUAACAUUCUUCGUCACAGAGUCCCCAACGGUAAGAGGACCAGUAGGGGAUAAGAAGGAUGGGCGCCAUAUAUUGUCUUAAGAAGGCAUGGCUGCCUCUUCACCAAAGUUCAAGUCAAAAUGACGGUCGGAUGGGCCAGACAUUCUCAGAAAUGAUGAAGGAGAAAUGAGGUGCAAUAAAUCUCUGAAGUAAAAAAAUAAGGGGAAAAUUCCUACAAGCAAUAACUCUCUGAAUGUACUUCUUACACACAAUUGGUGCUCUUAUAAAAGAAAGGGUAACAGGGUUGU